rnacentral:lncRNA from 1 species
GAUGAAGUUUUUUUUAUUGUUUUAUACAAUAAACAAUGUAUAUUCACUUUUACUACCAACCAAUCUUUACCAUUCAGUGAUAACAAGCACUUUAUUUUACAUUUUAAUAUUUUAUGAUGUAUUUAAAAGAGUAGUUAUUGUUGCAAACUCCAUUAGAAAUUUGAAUUGAUAUCAGUUUUGGAAAAAGGGAAACGGGGAUGUGAAAAAAAGGGGGAGGGUUAAAUUUUUCUCAUUUCAGAUUUCAUAAAUAAAAAGAAAAUUUCUUCAAACAUUUUUUUGAGAGGAUUAAUAUUCAACAGCAUAGUGAAUUGCUUAAAGG